UCCUACGGGGGGCAGCAGUGGGGGAUAUUGCACAAUGGGGGAAACCCUGAUGCAGCGACGCCGCGUGGGCGAAGAAGUAUUUCGGUAUGUAAAGCCCUAUCAGCAGGGAAGAAGAAAUGACGGUACCUGAGUAAGAAGCACCGGCUAAAUACGUGCCAGCAGCCGCGGUAAUACGUAUGGUGCAAGCGUUAUCCGGAUUUACUGGGUGUAAAGGGAGCGCAGGCGGCACGGCAAGCCUGAUGUGAAAUACCGGGGCCCAACCCCGGGGCUGCAUUGGGAACUGCCAGGCUGGAGUGCCGGAGAGG
rnacentral:rRNA from 1 species